rnacentral:rRNA from 1 species
UACAGAGGGUGCGAGCGUUGUUCGGAAUUACUGGGCGUAAAGCGCGCGCAGGCGGCUUUCUAAGUCCGUAGGUGAAAGACCGGGGCUCAACCCCGUGUCAGCCAUGGAUACUGGGAGGCUGGAGACAGGUAGAGGCAAGCGGAAUUCCGGGUGUAGCGGUGGAAUGCGUAGAGAUCAGGAAGAACACCGGUGGCGAAGGCGCUCUGCUAGGCCGCAACUGACACUGAGGGACGAAAGCUAGGGGAGCGAAUGGG